rnacentral:rRNA from 1 species
ACUCCUACGGGAGGCAGCAGUGGGGAAUAUUGCACAAUGGGGGAAACCCUGAUGCAGCCAUGCCGCGUGUGUGAAGAAGGCCUUCGGGUUGUAAAGCACUUUCAGCGAGGAGGAAAGGGUGUAAGUUAAUACCUUACAUCUGUGACGUUACUCGCAGAAGAAGCACCGGCUAACUCCGUGCCAGCAGCCGCGGUAAUACGGAGGGUGCGAGCGUUAAUCGGAAUUACUGGGCGUAAAGCGUGCGCAGGCGGUUUGUUAAGCGAGAUGUGAAAGCCCCGGCUGCAACCAUCGGAAGCCAGCAUUCGAACUUGGCAAACUAUGAGUCAUUGUAGUAGGGGGAUGGAGAAAUUCCAGGUGGUAGCGGUGAAAUGCGUAGAGAUCUGGAGGAAUACCGGUGGCGAAGGCGGCCCCUCGGACAAAGACUGACGCUCAGGCACGAAAGCGUGGGGAGCAAACAGGAUUAGAUACCCUGGUAGG